AUGAUUUACAAUUAAUAGGAGCAGGCGGGGGCAUUCGUAUUCCGACGCUAGAGGUAAAAUUCUUGGACCGUCGAAAGACGACCCACUGCAAAAGCAUUUGCCAAGAAUGCUUCCCUUAGCCAAGAACGAAAGUCAGAGGCUCAAAGAAGAUUAGAUACCUUUGUAGUUCUGACCCUAAACGAUGCCCGCCAGCGAUCCGGCUGCGUACGAACGUGACGCGCUGGGCAGCUUGCCCGGGAAACCUGAGUUCAGGCUCCGGGGGCAGUAUGAUUGCAAUGCUGAAACUUAAAGGAAUUGACGGAGGGGCACUACCAGGAGUGGAGCCUAUGGCUUAAUUUCAUUGAACACGGGAAAACUUACCGGGCCCGGACGCCUAACAGAUGGACAGAUUGCUAGCUCUUUGUAGAGGUUGAGGAUGGUGGUGCAUGGUCGCAGUUGGUUCGUGGGGUGACCUGUCUGGUUAAUUCCGAUAAAAGAACGAGAUUCUUGCUUAUUAAAUAGGGCUGGUUCCUACGAAUGGGAAUCGAGUCUUCUUAGAAGGACCGUCGGCUUCCAAGCCGUACUAAAAGAAGCAAUUAGGGUCUGUGAUGCCCUUAGAUGUCCGGGACCGCACGUGCGCUACAGUAGAG